rnacentral:rRNA from 1 species
GAUGAACGCUGGCGGCGCGCCUAACACAUGCAAGUCGAACGGUUAAAGCAUCUUCGGAUGUGCAUAAAGUGGCGAACGGCUGAGUAACACGUGGGCAACCUGCCCCUCGCAUCGGGACAGCCUCGGGAAACCGUGGUUAAUACCGGAUACUCCGCCUCCCCCGCAUGGGGGAGGCGGGAAAGCCCAGACGGCGAGGGAUGGGCCCGCGGCCUGUUAGCUUGUUGGUGGGGCAGUGGCCCACCAAGGCGAUGAUGGGUAGCCGGGUUGAGAGACCGACCGGCCAGAUUGGGACUGAGACACGGCCCAGACUCCUACGGGAGGCAGCAGUGGGGAAUCUUGCACAAUGGGCGAAAGCCUGAUGCAGCGACGCCGCGUGCGGGACGAAGGCCUUCGGGUCGUAAACCGCUUUCAGCAGGGACGAGG